rnacentral:rRNA from 1 species
GAUAAGGUUAAGUGAAUAAGGGCGCACGGUGGAUGCCUUGGCACUAGGAGCCGAUGAAGGACGGGACUAACACCGAUAUGCUUUGGGGAGCUGUACGUAAGCUAUGAUCCAGAGAUUUCCGAAUGGGGGAACCCAACAUCUUUAAUAGGAUGUUACGAUUGUGUGAAUACAUAGCACAUUCGAGGUAGACGCAGAGAACUGAAACAUCUAAGUACCUGCAGGAAGAGAAAGAAAAUUCGAUUCCCUGAGUAGCGGCGAGCGAAACGGGAAAAGCCCAAACCAGCAAGCUUGCUUGUUGGGGUUGUAGGACUCCAAUAUGGUAGUUCUUUCAGAUAGUCGAAUGACUUGGAAAAGUCAGUCAAAGAGGGUAAAAACCCCGUAGACGAAAUGUGGAAGACACCUAGGAGGAUCCUGAGUACGGCGGAACACGAGAAAUUCCGUCGGAAUCCGGGAGGACCAUCUCCCAAGGCUAAAUACUCCCUAGUGACCGAUAGUGAACCAGUACCGUGAGGGAAAGGUGAAAAGCACCCCGGAAGGGGAGUGAAAUAGAACCUGAAACCGUGUGCCUACAACAAGUCAAAGCCCGUUAAUGGGUGAUGGCGUGCCUUUUGUAGAAUGAACCGGCGAGUUACGAUUGCAUGCGAGGUUAAGUUGAAGAGACGGAGCCGCAGCGAAAGCGAGUCUGAAUAGGGCGUUUGAGUAUGUAGUCGUAGACCCGAAACCAUGUGAUCUACCCAUGUCCAGGUUGAAGGUGCGGUAAAACGCACUGGAGGACCGAACCCACGUACGUUGAAAAGUGCGGGGAUGAGG